rnacentral:rRNA from 1 species
GACGAACGCUGGCGGCGUGCUUAACACAUGCAAGUCGAACGGAAAGGCCCUGCUUUUGUGGGGUGCUCGAGUGGCGAACGGGUGAGUAACACGUGAGUAACCUGCCCUUGACUUUCGUAUAACUUCAGGAAACUGGGGCUAAUACCGGAUAGGAGCUCCUGCUGCAUGGUGGGGGUUGGAACGUUUCGGCGGGUGGGGAUGGACUCGCGGCUUAUCAGCUUGUUGGUGGGGUAGUGGCUUACCAAGGCUUUGACGGGUAGCCGGCCUGAGAGGGUGAACGGCCACAUUGGGACUGAGAUACGGCCCAGACGCCUACGGGAGGCAGCAGUGGGGAAUAUUGCACAAUGGGCGGAAGCCUGAUGCAGAAACGCCGCGUGCGGGAUGACGGCCUUCGGGUUGUAAACCGCUUUCGCCUGUGACGCAGCGUGAGUGACGGUAAUGGGUAAAGAAGCACCGGCUAACUACGUG